UGCUCUACUUUUGAUGCCAGAUCGUGCCAUUCUGCAUGAACAGAAGGCUCAAAUUUUGCUUGAACUUGGAGAAACAUGGAAGGCGCUACAAGCUGCUACUCGUGCAACUGAGUUGGAACCAAGCUGGGGUGAGGCGUGGGUCACCCUUGGUAGAGCACAGCUGAAUUAUGGUGAGCCUGACAGUGCUAUAGAAAGCUUAGACAGAGCACUAGCCAUCAAGCCAGACUCUGCUGAGGCUCGUAAUGAUCGACAAGCUGCCUUGCAUCAUAUUCAGAGGAGAAAACAGUUACAGACAUCAGGUUUAAGCAUGAACCAAAACCGUUUUGCUGUAGUCGACAAAACUGAGAGCACUUGAAGGUUUGAAAACGUAGGUUUAAUCUCAUUACAGAGGAUGCUUUGUUCCGAUAAGAUCCUGAG
rnacentral:misc_RNA from 1 species